rnacentral:rRNA from 1 species
GACAGAGGGUGCAAACGUUGUUCGGAAUUACUGGGCGUAAAGCGCGUGUAGGCGGCUAAGUAAGUCGGGCGUGAAAUCCCACGGCUCAACCGUGGAAGUGCACUCAAAACUGCAUAGCUAGAGUCCUGGAGAGGAAGGUGGAAUGCUUGGUGUAGAGGUGAAAUUCGUAGAUAUCAAGCGGAACACCAGUGGCGAAGGCGACUUCCUGGCCUGUUCUUGACGCUGAGGCGCGAAAGCUAGGGGAGCAAACGGG